CCGGUUGAUCCUGCCGGAGGUCACUGCUAUCGGUGUCCGAUUAAGCCAUGCGAGUCGUGAGGGGUUAUGCCCUCGGCGGACUGCUCAGUAACACGUGGACAAUCUGCCCAAAGGUCUGGGAUAACCCCGGGAAACUGGGGAUAAUACCGGAUAGACCACUACAUCUGGAAGUGAGUGGUGGUUUAAAGGUCUAACGCCUUUGGAUGGGUCUGCGGCGGAUUAGGUUGACGCCGGUGUAACGUACCGGCGUGCCUGUAAUCCGUACGGGUUGUGGGAGCAAGAGCCCGGAGAUGGAUUCUGAGACACGAAUCCAGGCCCUACGGGGCGCAGCAGGCGCGAAAACUCUACAAUGCAGGAGACUGCGAUAGGAGGACAUCGAGUGGCAUCCACCUUGGGUGCCUGUCCAACCGUCUAAAAAACGGUUGUUAGCAAGGGCCGGGUAAGACCGGUGCCAGCCGCCGCGGUAAUACCGGCGGCUCGAGUGGUGGCCGAUAUUAUUGAGUCUAAAGGGUCCGUAGCCGGCUUUGCAAGUCCCCCGGGAAAUCCAGCGGCUUAACCGUUGGGCUUUCGUGGGAUACUACAUUGCUUGGGACUGGGAGAGGUAGGAGGUACUCGGGGGGUAGGGGUGAAAUCCUGUAAUCCUCUGGGGACCACCGGUGGCGAAGGCGUCCUACCAGAACAGGUCCGACGGUGAGGGACGAAAGCUAGGGGCACGAACCGGAUUAGAUACCCGGGUAGUCCUAGCCGUAAACGAUGCCCGCUAGGUGUCACGACAGUCGUGAAUUGUCGUGGUGCCGUAGGGAAGCCGCGAAGCGGGCCACUUGGGAAGUACGACCGCAAGGUUGAAACUUAAAGGAAUUGGCGGGGGAGCACCACAACGGGUGGAGCCUGCGGUUUAAUUGGAUUCAACGCCGGGAAG
rnacentral:rRNA from 1 species